AUCAGGCUCUACACCUCUUUGAAUCAUUACAUUGAAUGUAUUUUGAGCCUCUGAAACCAUUCCAUCCUUACAAAGAGCAUCGAUCAAUACACUGAAGGUAUAAACAUUUGGUAAUAUGUUCUGCUCCACCAUUUCAUUCAUCAAGGCCAAAGCUUGGUUCUUUUGGCCUAAUUUGCAAACACCGUGAAGUAAACUAUUGUAAGUGAUGACAUCAGGUGAAAUGCCCUUAUUCCUCAUUUGAGAGAAGAGCUCUAAAGCCUCACCAACUAGCUCAUCCUUGCAAAGGGCGUCAAUGAUUGCACUGUAUGUGACAACAUUUGGCUCACAAUCUCCAUCAGCCAUUCCCUUUAGUAGCCCAAUAGCCACACUUGUUUUCCCAAAUUUACACAUUCCGUUUAUUAUCACACUGUAAGUACGAACAUUAGGUUGAUAACCACGUGCAACCAUAUCAUCGAAAAAUUCCACUGCUUUGUCGAUUUUACUCUCCAUACAAAGCCCAUUAAUUAAGGUAGUAAAUGUCACAGUGGUAGGCUCCAAUCCAAAUUUUAGCAUCUUACCAAAAACAGAGAAGCCAAAAUCCACAAGGUGUAAGUGGCAGAAGCAAUUAAUUAAGAUACUAAGAGAAUAAACAUCGUGUGAGAUUCCUAGCAAUUCAAUUGUUUUGGACAUGGAGUAGACAGUGUGAUAUUGUUUCAUUUUCACAAGGGCAGAUAAGAAUCUACUAAAUUGAGCCCUAGAAGGAAGAGGAUGCAUAUGAAUUACAUGAUUAAAGGAAGCAAUGGCAUCAUCAAGGCGGGUAAAAGAAGCAGAUUUGAAGUUAUUUGUCAAGAAGCGUGCAUCUUCAAGUGUGGAAGUAGAAGAAUGGCAAUAAUUGGUAAAUGAGAAUAGGAAUGGAGAUUGAAUGGUACCAAUUGCCCCUUGUAGCUGAAGAUGGAAGCUCCUGCUCUUCCUCCUCCAAGGCAUCUUCAUCAUCAUCGAUCUCUCGUCAGUUGUUUUUAGGGAUGGAUCGGAGAUUGGGAAUGAGGAAAGGAAAUAGAGAAUCGGAAAAGGAAGGCUCUCUGCCAGCUGGUAAAGUGGUAAGGAUAAAAAGGAAAUUGGGAAAGGAAAUGCAUUACUAGUUGUUUAUAUGCAGCACAUUUUGUAAUUUUUUUUUAAUUAAUUUUUCAUAUAAAAAUAUUAUUUAAUAACAAAUUAAAUUAAUUAUUUUAUAUUAUUAUAAUAUUAAAUUAUUAUAACUGUACCUUAUAACAGUGUAGAGCGGGGAUGGGUUAUGGUUUCUGGGAAGUCGAUAGAGAAGGAUGAUGGAAAAGUGGUUAAACUGCAUAAACAGUACACAGGAUAUUAAAUUAUUAUAAUAUUAAUUUUAAUUAUUAAAUAUUUUACAUUUUAAUCUCUAUAAUAUUAAAAAUUUAUUAAUUAAAGUUUCAAUUUUAUAAAAGUAUUUAUUAAUUAUUUCAUCCAUAUUGAAAAUAUUUUAAUUUUUUUAAGUAAAAUUUACUAUUUAAUUUUUAUAAUAUAAAAAACACAUUAAUUACUUCUUUUAUUUUGAAAAAUAUAUCAAAAUAUUUUUAAAAUAUUAAAAAUAUAUUAAUUAGUCCUCCCAUUAAUUUUAUUUAUUAAAUAUUUUACUAUUUAAUUUAUGUAGUAAGAGAAAAUUUAUUAGUUAAUCUCUUAAUUUUAUAAAAAUAUUUACUAAUUAAUUUUUUCAUAUUAAAACAUUUCAAAAAUCAUGAAGGGAUAUUGAAUAUAUCCUAAAUUAGUCGUUAUUUUUUAUCAUUAAAACUAUAUUUGUUAUGGUGUAAUAUUUUUUAUAAAAUAUUUUUUAUAAAACAAAAUAAAGUCUUAAUUUUUAUAUUAACUUUAAUUCAAGGAUUUGGUGUCAAACGAAUAUAUAUAUAUAUAUAUAUAUAUAUCAGUGCAAUAUUAUUUUGCCAGCAAUUCUCAUAAGAAAUAAAAAUCAAUGCAUAAAUAGAAAAAAUAAAACUAGAAAAAAAGAAGUAUAUAAAUGGGAGAUAUAAUUGGUAAAAUUACUGAGAAUUUGCCAUGAAGAGUCCAAAAAAUUACUUUAAAAUAUAAAAGAGUGAAUUAUUUUUGGUUCUUAUAUUUUAUCAAAAUUGACUAUUUAAUUUUUUAUUUCUAUGUUAUUCAAUUAAAAUAAAUUUUUAUAUUAUUUAUUUAUUUUAAUUAUACAUAUAUAAUUUAGUUGUUCUAAUCAAAUCUAAAAAUAUAUUUAUUAAUAUUUUAAUUGAUAAGAAUAUCAAAGGGUUUGACUUUAUAAAACAACCGAAAUAACUUUUUUUGCGUAACUUAACUAACAUCUCAAACAGUACAUCCAAUCACCUUGGCACAAAAUAAAGAAUCUAAAAGGGAAGAAUAUAUAUAUAUACCUUCCACAAGCAUUUCUAAAAUUCAAAUUUUCAUGUUAAAAAAUUGAUUUCAUUGGAAAAGAUUGUGAACUUCAUAUUAUUAGAUGUUAAUGCAAUGAUUUCACUGAUUUGAUUUGAAGGAAAAUAAAAGAAAUUAAGCAACUUCAUGACUAGACAAAAAAAGGUGACAAAGACCCUCUAGUGAUUCUCUUACCUUAAACUCUAGGAUGGUAUAUCAUGCAUCUUGCAUUUAUAAUGUAGUCUAAUUGUUAAAUUAAUUCUCAAUUAAAGCACAGUGAUUUAUAAUCAUUAUUUUCAUUAUUAUUAAAAAUAUAAUAAUUAAGCAAAAAAGAAUUGCUUAUACCUUUAUUGUUAGAAAGGUGAAAUUGUAAUCAUAUUCUUGCAAAGUACCUACAAGAGAAAUGAUAGCAUUUUAAAAGGUCACUGAGCACAAAAAUAAAAAUAGAUAAAAAUUCUUAAGCAUUGUAGUAUGGAACCAAUUAAUUUUAGUUCUCAACUCAUUUUUAGGACUGAGCUCUAGAGGUAAGGCUGUAGUAGCAGCAAAAAAAAAAUUAUAAAGGAGAUGGUGGGUUUAGCAGCAACUUGAUCGUUAGAAAUCCAUGACCUCCAUUCAUGAACAAUCUUAUAUCAAAGAGAUCAAGUGUAUGUCUGAAUUCAAGCGAAAGGCACACACAUAUCAUGGUUUCCACUACAGGUCAUUUGCGGUGUUAGAAAUUUUCAAUUUGUGGAAGAAAAUCACAGCUGAUUGAAAUUAAAAAUUGAUAUUUGAAGAAGUUAGUUAAAUUACAUAUCUAUUAUAUUUGAAAUAGAUAAUUACCAAGUUGCGCUCCAAGACACACUUAAUGGUCAAGAUAUAACAACUUUUGCUAAUCCCUCGUUGCUUGCUUUUGGUAAAUCUUCAUGCUUGAGAAACCCUUGAAUGAUGAUAUUAUAACAACAAUUAUUCGGUAAACAUCCUCCUAUUCCAUGUCUCUAAAAAUCUUAUAUAAAAAUCUUAUAUGCUUCGUCUAUUAAUUCUUAAAUUCCAAGCACUAUUAACAGUGUAAGUCUAUGAGUUUCUAUUUAAUAGAAUCUGCCCAUUCAUUGCUUACAUAAAAUUUUCGAACCUCUUCCCAGGCUCCUUCCAUAGUGGAAUCCAAUGGAUUAGGAAGCCUCCACAUACCAUCCCUCCAAACCUUCCUCACCUUAGCAUGUCUAUGAUGUCAGAAUAUCCCAUAUUCAACUCAGAGGCCUCUCAACAAGACUUUUCCCACCCAUGCAAGGGUCAUACCAAAAUGAAAAACCCCUCUUCCCAACUUAUAUGCAUAAUGCUUUCUAAAAUAAUCUCUAAUUUUCAUCAGAUUCUUUCAAGAUCAACUAGCAUUACAAGGUUUAGAGAUCCCCAAAAACUGAGGCUUUUCAACUUAUUCCUCACCAUGUACCCUACCAGCAUAGGAUAAUUAUUUAGCAGACCAUGAGUCAAUUCUACUAGUUAAUAUACUAAUAAGCUUCUGACAAUGCUCUUUUUUAAUACUAGUAGAUACCAGAGGUAAUCCCAAAUAGAUAACAGGAAGAAAUCCCUCCCUGAAAUUGAGGAAUUGUAGAAUUUGCUGCUUCAUCUCCUCAAGCACUCUUGCAAGAUAAACACAGCUCUUAGACUCAUUUACUUGCAAUCCUAAAACCUCCUCAACUUCAAGGCCUCUCCAAGCCCACAGACCAAAUUCCUAGCCCCAUGACAAAACAAAAACAAAUCAUCUACAAAGCAAAGUGACUCAAUGUUGCUUCUUUACACCCUUUACGAAAUUUGAACCAGAUUUUCAAUUGCAAUUUCGUUUGCAAUUUUUAUUUAACCGAUCCAAAAUAAUUACAAACAUCACAAAACCAACCUAUUAAAUGCAUAAUAUAACACAAAUCAACCACAAAUCUAAUGUAUUCAAUUAUAAUAAAAAGAAAAGUCUUUUGAACUUAAAAUUGAACACAAAUAAUCUAGUAAAACCACAAAAAAUGUAUAAUUAAAAGCAUGUUUUUGUAGUAAAUGCCAAAAUAAAUAGUACCCCAAAAUGUAUACAACAAGUAAUCAACAAAAAUCCUCGAUUUGCUCAUCUAAUCCAUCUUCAUCUCAGGCAUGCGGGAAAAGACCCGGUGGACUGGUGGAAGAGAUACUGCACCACGCUCAAUCUCUGAUGUACCUGUUGCAAAAACUCAAAUUAAUACUUAAACUCAACAAGUAGGUGUUAAAACUUGCACUCAAGGAGUAAGUAUUAACUCUAGAUCAAGUUAUAAGUAUUAACUCAAGGAGCAACAAAUAGAAAUUAUUUUGAGCAUAAACUUACUACAAGUAAUAAACUAGCAAUAAAUAGACAUCAUUUUGGAAGCAUAAACUAAUUACAAGUAAUGCAUGUAUAUGAUAAACUAGUAGGUGUUAAAUUCUAAUGGACGGAAACAGGCAUGAGUAGCUUUGGUAAAAUGAUACAGAAAGCAGGUGUUAACACCUGCUAGUUCACUGAUUUAACACCUGCAUUCUUACUAGUAAAAAUCAAAAUACAUGAUAAAAUCUCCAAGUUAUUGUCCUAAUGCAGCAUGUUUACUGAAAAAUGAUAGCAUCUUAAAAGGUCAUUGAGCACAAAAGUAAAAUAGAUAAAGAUUCUUAAGCAUUGUAGCAUGGAAUCAAUUAGUUUUAGUUCUCAACUCAUUUUUAGGAUUGAGCUCUCGAGUUAAGGCUAUAGUAGCAGCCCAAAAAAAAUUGUAAGGAAUAUGGUGGGUUUACCAGCAACUUGAUCAUUAGAAAUCCAUGACCUCCAUUCAUCAACAAUCUUAUAUCAAAGAGAUCAAGUCCAUGUCUGAAUUCAAGCGAAAGGCACACACAUAUCAUGGUUUCCACCACAGGUAAUUUGCAGUGUUAGAAAUUUUCAUUUUGUGGAAGAGAAUCACAGCAAUUUGAAAUUAAAAAUGAUAUUUGAAGAAGGUAGUUAAAUUACAUAUCUAUUAUAUUUGAAAAAGGUAAUUACCAAGUUGCGCUCCAAGACACACUUGAAUGGUCAAGAUAUAACAAAUUUAGUUUGCUGAUCCCUCAUUGCGCACCUUUAAAAGCCUCAGAAUGAGAUCAUUAUUCCGCGAUAAAUGUACUACCAAUUCUGUGGUAGCAUCAUCAGCAGAGAACCCCUUAUCAACCAUUUCGUAUAUUAGUUCUGAUGCUUUUGGUAAAUCCUCAUGCCUGAGAAACCCUUGAAUGAUGAUAUUAUAACAACAAUUAUUUGGUAAACAUCCUACCUUUUCCAUGUCUUUAAAUACGUUAUACGCUUCAUCAAUCAAUCCUUGUUGGCAGAGUCCUUUCAUAAUUGCAUAAUAUACAUAAACAUCAGGUUGUAAACCAAUUUCAAAAAGACUAUAAAAAAGUUCCUUGGCAUCAUUAAUCUUCCCAACUUUGCACAUACCAUUGAUCAGACUGCUAUAGAUCACAACAUUAGGUUUCAACUGACUUUUCUCCAUUGCUUUCAACAGUGUGAGUGCCUCAUCGAGAUUCCCCUGUCUACACAAGCCAUCAAUCAUAAUUGAGAAGGUUACUAUAUUUGGUUGUUGACCAUGAGAGCACAUAUCCUUAAAGAGCUCUUUUGCAUUUUGGGGCCUCCCUGCUUGAAAUAUACCCUCUAUAAGCGUAGAAUAAGUAACAACAUCAGGAACUAAACCUUUAUGAGACAUUUCAACAAAAAUAUCCUUUGCAUCAUCUAUCAUUUUGCACUUACAAUAUCCAUUGAUCAAAAUGCUGUAGCUAAAAAUGUCAGCUAUUUCAUUGGUCACCAUCAGAUCAAAUAGCUUUCUAGCCUUAUCAAUUUGCUUGCACAGACAAUAUCCAUCCAUCAAUGAAUUAUAAUUGACAACAUCAGGUUCCACACCUCUUUGAAUCAUUAUCUUGAUUAUAUUCUGUGCAUUUGAAACCAGUCCUUUCUUACAAAGAGUGUCAAUCAAUAUAUUGAAGGUAAAAACAUCAGGGGAUAUGUUCCUCCCCACCAUUUCUUUCAACAAGGCCAAAGCUUCCUUGAAUUGGUCUGAAAUGCAAAGACCAUCAAUUAAGGAAUUGUAGGUGACCACAUCAGGCUCUACACCUCUUUGAACCAUUACAUUGAAUGUAUUUUGAGCCUCUGAAACCAUUCCAUCCUUACAAAGAGCAUCGAUCAAUACAUUGAAGGUAUAAACAUUUGGUAAUAUGUUUUGCUCCACCAUUUCAUUCAUCAAGGCCAAAGCUUGGUUCUUUUGGCCUAAUUUGCAAACACCAUGAAUUAAACUAUUGUAAGUGAUGACAUUAGGUGAAAUGCCCUUAUUCCUCAUUUGAGAGAAGAGCUCUAAAGCCUCACUAACUAGCUCAUCCUUGCAAAGAGCGUCAAUGAUUGCAUUGUAUGUCACAACAUUUGGCUCACAACCUCUAUCAGCCAUUCCCUUUAGUAGCCCAAUAGCCACAUUUGUUUUCCCAAAUUUACACAUUCCGUUUACUAUCACAUUGAAAGUACGAACAUCAGGUUGAUAACCACGUGCAACCAUAUAAUCGAAAAAUUCCACCGCUUUAUCGAUUUUACGCUCCAUACAAAGCCCAUUAAUUAAGGUAUUAAAUGUCACAGUGGUAGGCUCCAAUCCGAAUUUGAGCAUCUUACCAAAAACAGAGAAGCCAAAAUCCACAAGGUGCAAGUGGCAGAAACAAUUAAUUAAGAUGCUAAGAGAAUAAACAUCGUGUGAGAUUCCUAGCAAUUCAAUUGUUUUGGGCAUGGAAAAGACAGUGUGAUAUUGUUUCAUUUUCACAAGGGCAGAUAAGAAUCUACUAAAUUGAGCCCUAGAAGGAAGAGGAUGCUUAUGAAUUACAUGAUUGAAGGAAGCAAUGGCAUCAUGAAGGUGGGUAAAAGAAGCAGAUUUGAAGUUAUUUGUCAAGAAGCGUGCAUCUUCAAGUGUGGAAGUAGAAGAAUGGCAAUAAUUGGUAAAUAAGAAUAGGAAUGGAGAUUGAAUGGUACCAAUUGCCCCUUGUAGCUGAAGAUGGAAGCUCCUGCUCUUCCUCCUCGAAGGCAUCUUCAUCAUCAUGGAUCUCUUGUCAGUUGUUUUUAGGGAUGGAUCGGAGAUUGGGAAUGAGGAAAGGAAAUAGAGAAUCGGAAAAGGAAGGCUCUCUGCCAGCUGGUAAUGUGGUAAGGAUAAUACCUCGUGUACGUUAAAUCAUAUUAUAAUCAAACUAUUUUCUACACCUUCAUUUUGAGAUUUCUAAUAGAUACUCAAGUAUUAUAGGGGUUGUCCACAAUCAACCAUCGGGUGUUUAUUUAUUUUACAAAUUGAUAUCGAUAUUAUACCCAUCAAGAAUGUCAGGAUACUUUCACUAAAAAUUAUUCUUGAUAUUAAUUACACUAUAUUUUAUAUAUAUAAAGUAAAACCAAACUUUUUUCAUAUUGUUUAAAUGAAAGUAAAAUAAAGAUUUUUUAUUGUUUUUAUAGCAAAUCCUUUUAUUAUUGAGAAAAAACUUAAAUUUGAUUCAAAAUUCUAGACUAUCUCUUGCUAGCUGUAUUAGAGUUGUUUAUUUCAUUUUUUUAAUUUCAUAAAUGAUUUUGCUUUUUUAAAAAAAUUAUUAGUUUUUUCCUUUUAUAAAUUAAAUGUAUAAUUUUUUUUCUCAGUAGAAAAGUUAAAUUUUUAUUUUUUUUUAUUUUUUAUUUUGCAAUAUAUAGACAAACAAUCCUAUUUAAUGUAUAUGUUUAAUAAAGGAAUAGCUUAGUUACAUUGAAAAGUGAUAUCUUAAGCAUUAAUUAUACAGUACAAAUUACGUAAUGAUUUUGUGAAUCAUGCUGUAAGCGAAUAUAUAUAUAUAUAUAUGAGUGCAAUUGUGUAGAAAGUGAAUUAAGAAAUUAAUUUGCUUAUUGGUAAAUUGAUAUUUUUAAAUAGGCUUAUGAGCAUUUAAUUUUUAUAUUUUGUCAAAAUUGACCAUUUAAUUUUUUAAUUCUGUCAUUUGGUUAAAAUAAACUUUUAUAUUAUUUAUUUUUUAAUUUUAUAUAUAUAAUUUAAUUUUUUAAAUUAAAGCUAAAAAUAUAUUUACUAAUAUUUUAUUCGAUAAGAAUAUGAAAGAGUUUGAAUUUAUAAAAUUCAAAAUGUUUUAAUUGAGUGAUUUGAAAAUAGAGAUUGAAUAAUUAAUUUUGAUAAAAUAUAAGGAUUUAUUAAUAAUUUAAAUAUAUAAAAAAGAAUUAUUUAAAACUCUCUAAAGUUUCAUAUGAUAACCCCUUACAAGUUUCAGUAGUUCAUCAAACUUGUCAGUAGUGUAAAUAAGUUCGAUUGGCCAUUAAUUUUGGAGUCGAAAUCACUAUCCUGAAACUGUUUAAUCAGUUCUUGUAAUGCUGGAAACUUCAGAUUCUCUACUGAGAUUUAAUAUUUUUUGCUCUCGUCACCCACGUAAAUGGCUACAUAACCUUUUCGAAUUUAUGGGAUUUUAACUUUCAAAUCAGUCGAAUUGGAGAAUAAUUUAUAGGAAAAAGAUUAAGUAAUUGUAUAAUGUUAAUCUAAAAUUUUAGGAAGAAUUUAUUUUCUUGCUAAAAACUCUCUACAAUGAUAUUAUUAUCAAAAUUUUCUAAGUUAAAGGAAAGGUUUGAGUGUGAAGAACUCGAAAGGAAAUUAUAUAGGAGAGAAGAGUAAUUGAGAUUUAAUUUAUAUAUAUGGAUAAGGAGUGGAUUUUUAUGAUAAAAUUUAGAUUUUUAGCAUUAGCUAAAAUUUUUUAGCUGGAUUAAUUUAUUAAUUGGUUUAAAAAAAGUUGCAAAUUAAAACAGUGAAGAAGAAUCUUUAUUAAUUAUCGAAUUAUUUUCAUUUUAAUUUAUUAAUGGUAAUUGCUAAAUAUGGUAAUUAAGUGAUGCUUCAGUUUAUAAUUUUGAGAAUAAAUAAAAUUUCUUUGAUUUUAUGAUUUUAAGUUUCUUAAGAUGGUAGAAUUAGUUUAUAGGUCAGUAGAUUUUUUGUAAGGAGUUUGAAAUGGUUAUAAUAAAAAAAUUAAAUAUUUUAUUUUUUUUAUAUCAACACGAACAUUGUUAAAAAUAACAAAAUUAUUAAAAUUAUUGAAUAAAUUAAUAAAAAUUAAUAAGAUUAGCUAAAAUUAAUCAUGAGUGAAAAUAUUGAAUAACAUAAAAAUUUUGAUUUUUUCUUUUGUUAUUUAAUUUUUUUUAAAGAAAUGAAGAUAACUAUUUUUUAACAAAAGUGGGGCCAUUGAAACUAGAAUUAGCUGCUUCGAUUCAAUUUUUCUUUUCCUUUUUUGUAAAUGUUAUGUAGAUUCCCUUCAUUUUUUUUUUCUUACUAGAAUUUAUUUUCUUUUUGUAGUUUAUUAACUAUCAUACAUUACAAAAUAAUGUUUAAUGGAAAAUUUUAAUUAUAGUUUUAUUAAUAAUGAUGUUUAUAUUAAUUUUAUAUUAUUUAAUUUUAUAUAAUAAGAUAAAUAAUAGAAAAAUAAAAAUAAAAAUACCUUAUAUAUAUAUAUAUAUAUAUUUAUUUAUUGAAAGGUUAAUUUAUGUAAGAGUUUUUUUAUAAUAAAGUUAUAUAUUUAAUUUAAUUAAAAUUAUAUUUUUUUAAAAUAGAAUUUAUAUUUAAAUAAAAAAAAUUCUAACCGAUUAAAUUAAAUAUUUUAUUUUUAAUCAAUUAAAAUAAAGAGUUACUUAUAAUUAUUAAAUUUAACCACCUUUUAUAUUGAAAAUUUCAUUAUUUCCCUUUACUUUCCAUUUAUAUAAAUAUAUAUGUGUAUAUUAUUAAAAAUCAAAUAAUCACAGAUAAAAAAAAUAAGCGAUACACAAAUUUAAUGUGAUUAAUCAAUUUGGCAAGAUCAUGACGAUUAUUUUUUUUUUUAUUUUUCUAUGAAUUUUUGAAUAUAAUACACUAGAAAAAUAUUAUAUUUUUAUAUGUCUAAGAAAAUAUAAAAAAGAUAUAAUAGUUUUAAAAAAUUUACGAUCAUGGAGUAUAAUGUAUAUUUUAUAAUAUAUUAUUAGUUUCCAUAUCUCAACAUAUAUAUAUUUUAUAAAAUAAAAUUUAUAAUAAAUAGAAAAUAAUUUUAACCAAAUAAAUUAAAUAUUUUAGAGAAUAAUUUUUUUUUCAAUAAAUCAAAAUAAAUAGUUAAUUUUACUUUAUGUAUAUAUAUAAUAAGUUUUAGUUUAAAACUAAUAAAUUUAAAACUAAAUAAUUUUAAUUAAAUAAGUAUAUAUAAAAAUUAAUUCACAAACUUGUAAAAACCAAAUUUUUAAAUAUUAACGAUCCCGAUGUCUGCAAGUUUUAAAAGUGUAAUUAAACUAUAUAAAGUUAAAUUUUAAAAAACUAAGAUUGACUUGUGAAAGUAUAUGUAGAGUUUAAACUUAUUUCUCUUAUGAUAUUAAUCUCAACCUAUCACGAGAACACCUAUCUGAUUUGGAGUGAUACACUCUGCUAAUUUCUUCUGGUGCUUCACAUUUCUUGAUUAGUGAUCAUUAAUCUAAUUAAUAUUAAGUAAUCAUAUAGAUUUUACACACUAAUAUUUAAAAAUGUCUCUUUUCUUCUGAAUCCAAGGACCAUACUUACAGAUUCAAGCUCCGGAUUCAAGGCUCUUCUUCUCCAAUACUCUGCAUCGUCAACCAUCAAUAAAAAUAGCGCAGCCAGAAGCUUGACUGCAUUUGCAGUGAAUCUUCGCUCAGCUGAAGACUCUUGAGACUUUGUUCUUCUUCACUGUGUCAUUUUGAGACAAGAAUCAUUUUGUAAGCCAAUUACAAGAAAAGCUAUUUUUGAGGCAUAACUGUACUAAAUAAUCUGCAACUAAAUUUGCUUUUUUGUAAAUUUUAUCCCUGUACUUUAUUGAAAUAUAAGAUUUGGUCCUUAUAUUUUUAAAUUCUACUAUUAAGUCCCUAAAAAUUUUGACAGAAAAAUCAACAAUUCAGUCCCUACCAUCAAAACAAGAGUUAACUUUCUCUUAAAACUAUUAAAAAAUGACCAUAAUGCCUUCUAGUAUAUAUUUUUAUAUUAAAAUAUUAAUUUUUAAUGAUGAUUAGGAUGCUGACGUGAUAUUUCUGUUAAAUCUAACAUCAAAUUUACUGGUAGGUUAUAAAUAAAUUUAGAUAGUUAGUUUAGAGUAUAUUAGUUAAUUUUUAUAAUUUAGAGUAUAUCUGUUAAAAUGCGAAUAGUUCAAAGUUUUUUUUGCCACCAUCCCUUUUGCAAAUUGAUCUUGAAUACUUAUUAUAUAUAAUCUUAUUCAUAAAUAGUUAUAAUAUGUAAGGAUUAAUUUGUAAAAUUAUAGAAAUUAUUUGUCAAUAAUUAAUGUUGGAAAGAAUCCUCUGCCAUGAUUGUAAAUCAAUCAGUGAUCCUCUGUCAUGAUUGUAAAUCAAUCAGUGAUCAAAUCUUACCAUGUUUAGCAUAGCACAAUUCUAGGACAUAAUUGAGGGCACAAUCAAAGGUCUAAUUGUUCAUAUUAUGUACUAUAUAAACUCUGUAACUUACUACACAAGAGGUAAGAAAAUAAAAACAGUUUUCUUCCUAUAAUCUCAAGAUGGUAUCAGAGCGGGUUUGGGUCUAAAAAUAUAGUCAUCCUGCAAUAAUCCUUUACCAGAUACCUUUCCCAACUUCUUUCUCUCACCAAAACAACAAUGGCCGACCUUCCCAGCCCGGUUGACCAAUCCCAGGCAAUAAUUGAUCCAAUAGCAGACCUGUCACAAAAACUAUUCCAGUUAAUUCAGAAUAGCCAAGAUGGAAAUCAGAAAUCAGUGAACCAAUUCACUCUUGAUUCAGCACAGCCACCAUCCGACAUAAAAUUGAAUGAUUCCAAUUAUGUUGUAUGGGCAAAGAUGAUGGAGAUGUUUAUCACGGCGCUACAAGAAGCCGCGAAAGGAGGAGGCACAUGUGUCCCUUAUGAUCGAGAAGGAGGUAUUUUAGGGUUAGAAAGGAGGGCAAAUGACCUUUCUACCCCUGUCUCUUUAAAUAAAUCUAAAUGUGCCUCUGCUUGUUUUAAUUCUUGUAAAAUUAAAUCCCUGGUCUCGGAUGUUUUAGAUAAGUUUGGUUGUAAUCCCAAAACUGAAUCGUUAGCCCCUAAUUCUAUCGGUCAUGCUAACAAGGUACAAAAUACUAAUGGGUGGAUAUUUGAUUCAGGAGCCACAGAUACUAUGACUAAUGAUUCUUCAGAUUUUGUUGUGUCAGCCCCACCCUCAAAAUCCAAUAUUCUAAACGCUACCGGUGGCUCCUUCCCGGUCAUCAGUGGUGGUACCGUUUCUAUAACCCCCACUUUAAAUGUCUCCAACAGCCUCUAUAUACCUUCCUUAUCUUGCAAAUUACUCUCUGUCAGUCAGAUCACCAAACAGUUAAAUUGCAGAGUACUCAUGUAUCCUCAUUUUUGUGUUUUGCAGGAUAUUCAUACGGGCACGGUACUGGGCCGUGGUACUGAGAAAGAUGGACUAUACUAUGUGGAGGAGGUCUCAAAUACUGGGUCAGCUCAUUUAGCUCAAGGGUCCUCAACCCGACAGUUAUGGUUCUGGCACCGGCGCUACGGCCAUCCCUCAAGUGAUUAUCUUCGUACUUUGUUUCAUGAGUUUAAAUCCAUUGACAUUUCAGUUUGUACUUCAUGCGUGCUUGCUAAGAGUCAUAAGAGUACUUAUCAUAUAUCCACAAAUAAAUCUGAUACUCCCUUCUCAAUAAUACACUCUGAUGUAUGGGGGCCUGCCCCGGAAACUGUCUCCCUUGAUUAUAGAUACUUUGUGACUUUUAUUGGUGAUUGCACUCGUGUUACUUGGGUUUACCUGUUAAAACAAAAAAGUGAAGUGGCUGAGACAUUCUGUGAUUUUUUCCGCAUGAUUAAAACCCAAUUUUACAGGACCAUUCAAGUCCUCCGAUCUGACAAUGGGGGGGAAUUUGUCAAUAACCAUCUCCAAACCUUUUUCUGGGAUAAUGGGAUCCUUCACCAAACUACUUGUCCUUAUACACCACAGCAAAAUGGGGUUGCUGAAAGGAAAAAUCGACAUAGCCUUGAGACUGCCAGAGCCCUAUUGUUUGAAGCCCAAGUUCCUCCUAAGUUUUGGUCUGAAGCAGUUGCCACAUCCAUUUACCUCAUCAAUCGACUUCCGUCUCGCGUCCUUAAUUUCCAAUCUCCCUUGCAUACCUUGUCCUCUCAUCACACCAUCCCUUCCCAUCUCAACCUUCCACCUAAAAUCUUUGGCUGCACAGUUUAUGUUCACAUUCCUAAAACACACCGCACUAAACUUGAUCUAUGUGCUCUUAAGUGUGUUUUCUUUGGUUAUGGUGUCCAUAAAAAGGGCUAUCGGUGUUUUGACCCAAUCUCUAAACGGCUCUUCACUACCAUGGACUGCACUUUUCUGGAAGAGGAAUAUUUUUUUCCCUCGCCAACUAGCAGUGAGGGGGAGACAACGGCACAAUCACCACCACUGCCAAAUUGGCUUAGUCAAGAGGGGCCAUAACUUGAUCAUUCUUCUCUUCCUGAGUCUAUACCAGAACUGGGAGACACCAGUCAUUCUUCCCUUCCUGAGUCUACACCAGAACUGGGAGACACUAACCAUCUAGUACAGUCCUUGGAAUCAACAUCACAACCAGAACCUGGCACCGUAGAAUAUCCUGAGGAACACACAACUGAGGUAUGUGAAUCUGAACUUUCUCCUGUUCCUAAUAACCUCACCACUGAACCCAUUUCCCUUGAGGUUCUUGAAACAGGCCAAUAUGUUCUACCCCCUCGGAAUAAUAGAGGAAUUCCACCCAGGAGAUAUGAUCCAGAAUUCGAGGCAGCCAGGUCCAGAUACACUGGCAAACGUUACCAGAGGAGAAAGACUAUCACCUCAGUUGGUCAACUACAGAAAAACAUUUGCUCAGAAUGGAUACCAAAGGAUGCCACAGAGGCCCAAAAGGACAAAAGAUGGGUUGAGGCAAUGGAGAUCGAGAUGGAUGCCCUGGAGAAAAACAAGACCUGGGAAAAAUGCUGGCUACCCAAGGGAAAACAACCAGUGGGAUGCAAAUGGGUGUUUACCAUAAAGUAUAAGUCAGACGGAACGGUGGACAGAUAUAAAGCUAGACUUGUAGCAAAAGGAUAUACUCAGACUUAUGGAGUUGACUAUUCUGAAACAUUCUCUCCAGUAGCAAAAAUUGACACAAUACGGGUCCUAUUCUCUCUAGCUGCAAACCUAGACUGGCCACUUCACCAAUUUGAUGUGAAAAAUGCUUUCUUGCAUGGUGAUCUAGAAGAGGAAGUAUACAUGGAUGCUCCACCAGGGUUCAUGAGUGGAUAUAGAAGGGGAGAAGUGUGUUGAUUGAGGCGAGCCUUGUAUGGGUUGAAACAGUCACCCAGAGUAUGGUUUGGGAGAUUUACUCAAGUAAUGAAGAAAAAUGGAUAUCGGCAGAGUAACUCCGAUCACACUCUAUUCUUGAAGAGGCAAGGAAGGAAGAUCACGUGUUUGAUUAUAUACGUGGAUGACAUGAUUAUAACUGGAGACGAUGUGGACGAAACCAAACAACUGAGGGACAACUUAUUCCAAGAAUUUGAGAUGAAAGACCUAGGGAUUCUAAAAUAUUUUCUUGGAAUCAAAGUUCUCAGAUCAGACCAGGGAAUUUUGAUAUCACAGAGAAAGUACAUUCUUGAUCUGUUAAUUGAAACAGGAAUGAUAGAUUGCAAACCAGUCGAUACUCCGGUAAUGGUCAAUCAUGAGUUAAGUAAGGACUCAAAAGAAGGACCCACAGACAGGGGGAGGUACCAGAGACUGGUAGGAAAACUGAUUUAUUUAUCACACACCAGAUCAGACGUGGCAUAUGCUGUGAGUUUGGUAAGUUAGUUCAUGCAUGAUCCAAAACAAGACAAUAUGGAGGCAGCAUUGAGAAUCGUUUGAUAUCUGAAAGGAACAGCUGGGAUGGGCAUGUUGUUCAAAAAGAAUGGUCAUUUCAAUAUCAGUGGAUAUACGGACGCAAGUUGGGCAGGAGAUCUCUCCGACAGACGAUCUACUUCAGGAUACUUUACCUUUGUCGGAGGAAAUUUGGUAACGUGGAAAAGUAAGAAACAAAAGGUGGUGGCACUGUCAAGUGCUGAAGCAGAAUUCAGGGGAAUAGCAAAAGGACUGGUAGAACUCCUAUGGAUCAGAAAGUUGAUGUUUGAGCUUGGAUUCCCAUCAAAGGAUGCAGCUGAACUCCAUUGUGACAACAAGGCGGCAAUAAGCAUUUCUGAAAAUCCAGUUCAGCAUGAUCGAACAAAAUAUGUUGAAAUAGACUGACAUUUCAUCAAAGAAAAGUUGGACAGUGGUCUGAUAUCUUUACCGUUUGUUCGAUCAGAGGAUCAAUGGGCGGACAUCCUAACCAAAGCAGUAGCUGGACGAAUAUUCCAUGAGGUUUUGGGCAAGUUGGGUAUGCUAGAUCCACAUGAACCAACUUGAGGGAGAGUGUUGGAAAGAAUCAUCUGUCAUGAUUGUAAAUCAAUCAGUGAUCAAAUCUUACCAUGUUUAGCAUAGCACGAUUCUAGGACAUAAUUGAGGGCACAAUCAAAGGUCUAAUUGUUCAUAUUAUGUACUAUAUAAACUCUGUAACUUACUACACAAGAGGUAAGAAAAUAAAAACAGUUUUCUUCAUAUAAUCUCAAGAAUUAAAAUAUUCAGAAUUAAUUUGUAAAAUAGAAGGAGUUAUUUGUAAAUAAGUAUAUUAUUAGGAUCAACUUGUAAAAUUGUAGGUACUUAUUUAUAAAGAGUAAAAACUUUGUGAUUAAAUUUAUAAUAAUAUUAGGAUAAAUUAAAAAAUAUAAAAUUUAAAUUAGAAGACUAAACUAUAAAUCUAAUUAAACGUAUGAAAUUUUAUUGUUUUAGAUGAAAAUAUAUUUUAGAGGGUAUUAUGAUAUUUUUUAAUAGAUUCAAAAGUCUUAAAAGUUUAAAAGGAAUCGUAUUGUAAAGAUAAGAAUCAAUAUAACGUCUUAAUUUGUAUCGAUAAUGCAGUGAUUUUACCAUUUGCAAUUUUUAAUAAAAAUCUGUUGGUAAAUAAAUUAUCUAAUUCAUUGUUAAAAAGUUCGAUGGUAAAUUUUUAUUAAUAACUUUUAAGUCCGUUAAUAAUACUAAUGGAUUUAUUAAUAGAGUUUUGAUUAUUAUUAAUAACAGAUUUUAAAUCUGUUAAGAGAAAAAUAAUUUACUAAUAAACGUGAAAUCCGUUAAGAAAUUACCAACGUAUUGUAAUUCUUAGUCAAUUUAUUGAGUUUAAAUAAUUUUUUAUUAAUUUAAUAAGACUUAAAAUUAUAUUAUUAUUGUUACUAAGUUUUUAAUUUAUACCCAAUGUGUAUUAGAAAUACAUAGAAAGUGAAAAUAAGAGAAAAGUAAAUGGUAUAAAAUGAGAGAAAAUAAUAAAAGAGAAAGAAAAAAGAGAAAAAUAAAGAAAAUGAUAGAAAAAUAAAAAUUAUGAAAAAGAAAGAAGAAUGAGAGUAGGGUAAAAAGAUGAUUAGAGAAACAGAAAAAAAAGUGAACAAAUGAUUGGAGAAGAAAAUAAAUAAAGAGAAAAAAUAUAGAUGGAAAGAAAAUGAUAAAAGAAAUAAUACUAGAAAAACUAAUAUGAAUGAAAAUUAUAAAGAAAAUAAGAAAAUAAUGAGAAAAUGAAAGAAAAAUAUGGAAAAGAAAAUGAAGAAAAUGAAAGAAAAAUUAUGAAGAAUGAAUGAAAAUAAUAGAAGAUGAAAGAGAACGAUAGAAAGUAGGAUAAGAGAUGAAAAAAAAGAAAAAAUAGAAACAAUAAGAAAAAAAAAACUUAUAAGAUAAAAAAGUGAAAUAAAAAAAAAUAGAAAAUGAAAGAAAAUGAGAGAAGGGGAAAAUCUGGAAGAAAGUAAAAUGAUAAAAUGAAUGAAUGAUAAAAAUAUAAAAGUUGGUGUUAUAUUUAUAAAUGCGAAUUACUAAUGAAUUUGUAAUUUAUUAUUAAAUUAAAAAAAUAACUUUUUUCUCUCCAAAAAAUUAUCAAUAGAUUUCAAAUUUAUUAGUAAACCCGUUAAUAACCGAAAAAUAUAAAUCGUAAAAAAAAAAGUGAAAAUUUAUGCAGAUUUUAUUUUAAAUUUACCAAUUGAUAUAUUAGCGAAUAGCAUCCAUCCAUAAAUUCAACAAUUUUUUUUAUGUAUUAAUUUAAUGAUAAAAUUUAAUAAUAGAUUUUUAAAUUCGUUAGUAAUUUUUUAGGCAAAUUACUAAUAUAUUUAGAGUUCGUAAGUAAUUUAAACACUUUUUAAAAUUUACUUAGGAUGUAAACAAACUGAGCAUAACCUAGUUUUGAAGAGUUCAAGUUUGGUUUGUUAAAAAUUUUUCAAACUCGAGCCGAACUCAAGGUUUAAUCAUUUCGAACUCAAGUCGAGUAUUAAUAAUGUCAAGCUUACUCAUUUAGCAAAUAAACUUAGAUGAGUCGAGUUUUUAUCGAAUUUAAUCUUGAAUAAUUCACGAAUAGUUAAAUUUAUUUACAUAUAUAAUGAAUUUUAUUUUAUGAUCAAAUAUAAUUUAGUCACAUUUUUAUUAUCUUUAUUACUAUUUAAUUACACAUUUUUUCAGCUUAAUUUAUGUUUUUAUAGUGUUUUUGCGGAAAAUGGAGAAAAUGGAAAGUUAGAGAAAAAGUGCAGAAAAAACUGGGAAAUUGAUUGGGUCAGAGUGAUUUGGCCAAAUCACCCGCAGGAAACCAAAACAGAAGGCUAAAGGCAGAAACCUGGAAGUAAUUCACAGAAAUGAUUUGGGCAAGUGAUUUGCCCAAAUCACACUAACGCUAGAGAGACCAAUAACGCGGGAAAGAAGAGCAGAAAAUCAAAAUUCAAAAGUGGAGAAGUCCAAUCCUACUUCAAACACUACAAAGUCAAUUCCAAGAGCCACGAGAAGGUCUUUCACUCAAGAAAUUCCAUUCACAAUUAAAUACAAAAUCAAAAGAGAAAUCAAAGACUACAAAAGACCAAGUCAAAAUUAGGAUUUUCAAACCCUAAUUGGACUAGGAUUCUCCAUCUAUAAAAGGGACAGCAUCAAAAACAGCUAGGGAGAUCUCUCCACAGUCGGAAUUUCUGCAAAAACUCGGCAGAAGCACAACAGCCUCCUCUCUUUUCUUUCUUCUUUCUUUUUUGUGAUUUUGUCCACCAUGAGUGGCUAAACACCUUCUUUUCUAGUUGAAGUUGGGAAAUUUCAGAUUUGUGAUGAAUUGAGAGAUUUAAAACUCUAUUAUUAAACUCUUAUUUAUUUUCAAUAUUUAUGCAACUUGAUCUUUCUAUUAUUAUUGCUUUGCUUUUAGAAUCAAUUAAGGUCUAUUACUUUUAAUUGCAUGAGUAAUAUAUUGUUUGAAUGAUUUAGGUCCGUAAUUACUUAGAUUGUUUAAACUCAAGUAUAAUCGGUUGCAUAAUCUAAACUUGACCACGCGGUUGGCAAGGUUAGAAUUAGAUUUCUCUAAAUCUUAAGGCAGUUAACAGUUGAAAAGUAAAAAAAUCCCAAAAACGUUUAUUGGCAACUUGUUAACUAGUGUUUAAUUAGCAAACAUUUCCUAAUCAUACUAAAACUAAGGAGAAAUUUGGAUUGUGAGAAACGUCUUCCACAUCUUAAACUAAUUUAUUGAAAUAAAUAGGGGUAUCAAAAAGAUCAAUGAUCAAUUCUAAAUAAGUUGAAAUAGAUCCAUACUUCAAUUAGAAUCCUUCUCCCAUUGAUUUACUCAUUUAUUUAAUUACUGCUUUCUUUUACUCAAUUGUAAUUCUUCAAAACAAAAUGCCGCCUUUUAUUUACUUUUAUUAUUUAUUUGUCCAAGUCAUUAUUAGGAAAAUUCGUAUUGUCAAAUCCAUGUGGUUUGACCCUAUUGUCACUAUCUACAAAUUAUUUUAUUGAUUGAAAAUAGGUUUAUUUUUUACGGUUUCGACAACCGCUAUCACUUUAAAACUAAUAAAUUUAAAACUAAAUAAUUUUAGUUAAAUAAAUAUAUAUAUAUAAAUUAGCUCCUAAAUUUAUAAAGAUAAGAUCUUAAAUUUUAACCUCUAAAUAUAUGCAAGUUUUAAUAGUGUAAUUAAAGUAUAUAGAGCUGAAUUUUAAAAAAUUUAAAUUUGGUUUAUGAAAGUAUAUGUAGGGUUUAAAAUUAUUUUUAUUAUGAUAUUAAUCUCAGUCUGUUUAACGAGACUACUCACAAGUUGUUCGUGAGCCUGUUCAUGAACUCGAAAAUGAACUGACAUCUUGAGUCUUAACGAGCCGAAUAUUAUGAAAUUUAAACUUGACUCAUUUACUAAAUAAAUUUAAAAAUUAAAUUUGAGCUUGCAUCAUAUAGAAAUAAAGUCAAAAUCGAUCAAGUUUUUAUCGAGUUGAAUCUCGAAUAACUCAUAAAUGGUUUAAUUCAUUUACACCCCUAAAUUUAUUAACAGAUUCAAAUUAUCAAUAAAUUACCAAAGAAUUUAUUAACAGAUUUUAAAUCUGAUAGGAAAUUUCAACACCAAUUAUUUUAUAAAUUUAUAAAGUUUUACAGAAUUUUUAAAUCCGUUAAUAUUAAUUUCAAAUUCGUGGUGAAUAAUAAUUUAUAAAGUUUUAAAGAAUUUUUAAAUCCGUUAAUAUUAAUUUCAAAAUUGUGGUGAACUUUUACAUGAUUUGUUGGUGAAUUUUUACAUAAUUUUUUUAUAUUAAGAAUUAAGAUGAAUUUUUAAAUUUAUUAAUAAAUUCAUUAAAUUUACUAAUGAAUUAAAGCACUAAUAAAAUCUGUUGGUAAUACGAAAAUAUAAAAAUUUCUUGUAGUGAAAAUUGUCCGGACAAAAUAUCUAUAAGUGGAUUGUGUGGUGCUGUGCUCUUCAUUAUCGGUAGAUCUACGAGGAGCUGAGAUUAUUGCAUAUAUAUAUAUAUAAUGUAUUCGAUUAUUUUUAUAUUUAAUAUUAUUUUAUUAAUUUUAUAAAUUAAAUUAUUCAUAUAACUUAAACAUAAUUAUUUUCCUUUUAAUUAUUAAACAAUUAUUAACAAUAUUAAAAAAUAAUCAUAUAUUCUAAUUAAUUAUUAAAAAUUUCUAACAAUAUAUAAUUAAAUAAUUUAAUUAAUUAAUUUUAGUGUAUUCUACCUAAGUAGAUUAUAUAUGUGUGUGUAUUUUUUUAUAUCAACCAUAAAUGUAUUAAUUAUUUUGUAGUUUUUAAUUAUAUAAAUAAAUUACGUAUUAAUAAUAUAAUAUAUUUUUAUAUAUUAAUUAUAUCUAUUUUUUAAUGAAAAUUAUAUAAUUAAUAACUACAUAAAAUAAUAAAAUAUUCUUAUCCAGAGUUAUAUAUAAUAUAUAUUAUAUUACUACAGUUAUUAUUAUUAUUAUUAUUAUUUAAUAUUAAUUAUUUAUUAUUUUAAAAUAAACGUAAAAGGCUAUUACGAUUUUAUUUGUAAAAAUUAAAAUUUAAAAUGAAACAAAAUUAAAAUUAAAAUAAUAAAAAAAAUUGAAAUCAAAUUGAGACUACUGAAAUUACUUAGAACUAUACUAAAUUUCAAUUCUAAAUAUGAUUCUACAUAAAUUUAAUUUGGUUCUGUUUCUUAGCAAAAACUAUAGCUUUUCCUUUUAGCAUGUUGCCUUUUAUGAACUUGUUCAUAAAUAAAUUUGGACAAAAAGUCCUGUUAAAUAGCUGAAGCUAAACUAGCAUUUUAAUCGCUAGUAGGACCAAUUGCAGUUGCUUAUCUCAGUGGCUGCAUGUCUGAUUUUCAUCCUCUUCUUUUGCUUAUAAUUUCUAAACCAAUCAGCAAGUAUCUCUAACAUGCCCAAAAGCUUUCCAAAAGUCUCAAAAUCUAUAUGAAACUCUUUCCUCCACUCCCAACUUUCUAACUUCCUAACUUUUCUUUUAAGAAUGAGGAGGCUGAACAUAUAAUUAUACUAAAAACAAACUCAUAUCUUUAAUGAUGCUUUAAAACACCAAGUUUAUCCCAUAGUUUCUUCAAUCUUCUAAAGUAAACAACAACUGAUAUAGAUUCUUGACUGAAACUACUUAUUUCUUUCUUUAAUUGGUGUAUAAGUUGCCCAAAUCUUUCUUUAAAGCAAGUGUCAUAGUCACAGACAUACUCCAAGUCGAAUAAUUUACUAAAUUUAAAGGUGCAGAUAGAUAUGAGAAUCCUACUUGGAUUAUCUGAGUUUUAAAGAGUAGAAGGAUCUGAAUCAUUUUGCAAUUGGUUUCCUACCUCUCAAUAUGUACCCUGUCAGCCCCACCUUCUCUAACAAACCAUUUUCCAUGGAUGCAGUCACAAAAACUUCAAGAAUGAUGCAUCUUGCAAAAAGAAAAAUACCGUGUACAAACAAGAGCCCAAAGAAAAUUUUAUUGAGUAUAUUACAAGGUUUAGAAAGUGGUAAAAACAUAAGAUGUCUCAUUAUAUACUGCUGAAAGGAGAAAAGAAACAACCAAAACAUCUUUUCUUGCCUAACUUAACUAACAUCUCAAACAGUAAGAAACAAUGCGUUUCACAUUCAUAACACCACACAAAUGUAUCGCAAAAUGCACCAUAUAAAUAACUCAAAUGGUGGUCCAACACUAAAAUAUAUCCGUUAUAUACCAUAUUGACAAAGAGGAUGUUUGCUUUUCCCUCAAUUCCCAUAACAUUUUCUGUUGUCUAUAAUUUUAGUGACUUUUCAUCCAACCAACAGCUGUAGAAGUCUAGUGAUUUUCUUACCUUGUAUUCUGGGACUGUAUAUCCUGCGCCCUGCAUUUAUAGUGUAGUAUAAUUGUUAAAUCAAUUCUCAAUUAAAGCACACCGGUUUAUAAUCAUUAGUUUCAUUAUAAUUAAAAAUUAUAAUAACAAAGCAAAAAUGAAUUGCUUAUACCUUUAUGGUUAGAAAGGUGAAGUUGUAGUCAUAUCCUUGCAAGUACCUACAAGAGAAAUGAUAGCAUUUUGAAAGGUCAUUGAGCACAAAAAUAAAAAUAGAUAAAGAUUCUUAGGCAUUGUAGUAUGGAACUAAUUAGUUUUAGUUCUCAACUCAAUGUUAGGACUGAGCUCUCGAGUUAAGGCUGUAGUAGCAGCAAAAAAAAAAAAUUGUAAUGGAGAUGGUGGGUUUACCAGCAACGUGAUGAUUAGAAAUCCAUGACCUCCAUUCAUCAACAAUCUUAUAUCAAAGAGAUCUAGUCCAUGUCAGAAUUCAAGCGAAAGGCACACACAUAUCAUGGUUUUCACCACAGGUCAUUUGCAGUGUUAGAAAUUUUCGUUUUGUGGAAGAGAAUCACAGCUGAUUGAAAUUAAAAAUGAUAUUUGAAGAAGUUAGUUAAAUUACAUAUUCUAUUAUAUUUGAAAAAGGUAAUUACCAAGUUGCGCUCCAAGACACACUUGAAUGGUCAAGAUAUAACAACUUUAGUUUGCUAAUCCCUCAUUGCGCACCUUUAAAAGCCUCAGAAUGAGAUUAUUAUUCCGCGAUAAAUGUACUAGCAAUUCUGUGGUAGCAUCAUCAGCAGUGAACCCCCUUAUCAACCAUUUCGGUGAUUAGUUCUGAUGCUUUUGGUAAAUCCUCAUGCAUGAGAAACCCUUGAAUGAUGAUAUUAUAACAACAAUUAUUUGGUAAACAUCCUACCUUUUCCAUGUCUUUAAAUACGUUAUACGCUUCAUCAAUUAAUCCUUGUUGGCAGAGUCCUUUCAUAAUUGCAUAAUAUACAUAAACAUCAGGUUGUAAACCAAUUUCAAAAAGACUAGAAAAAAGUUCCUUGGCAUCAUUAAUCUUCCCAACUUUGCACAUACCAUUGAUCAGACUGCUAUAGAUCACAACAUUAGGUUUCAACUGACUUUUCUCCAUUGCUUUCAAUAGUGUGAGUGCCUCAUCGAGAUUCCCCUGUCUACACAAGCCAUCAAUCAUAAUUGAGAAGGUUACUAUAUUUGGUUGUUGACCAUGAGAGCACAUAUCCUUAAAGAGCUCUUUUGCAUUUUGGGGCCUCCCUGCUUGAAACAUACCCUCUAUAAGAGUAGAAUAAGUAACAACAUCAGGAACUAAACCUUUAUGAGACAUUUCAACAAAAAUAUCCUUUGCAUCAUCUAUCAUUUUGCACUUGCAAUAUCCAUUGAUCAAAAUGCUGUAGCUAAAAAUGUCAGCUAUUUCAUUGGUCACCGUCAGAUCAAAUACCUUUCUAGCCUUAUCAAUUUGCUUGCACAGACAAUAUCCAUCCAUCAAUGAAUUAUAAUUGACAACAUCAGGUUCCACACCUCUUUGAAUCAUUAUCUUGAUUAUAUUCUGUGCAUUUGAAACCAGUCCUUUCUUACAAAGAGUGUCGAUCAAUAUAUUGAAGGUAAAAACAUCAGGGGAUAUGUUCCUCCCCACCAUUUCUUUCAACAAGGCCAAAGCUUCCUUGAAUUGGUCUGAAAUGCAAAGACCAUCAAUUAAGGAAUUGUAGGUGACCACAUCAGGCUCUACACCUCUUUGAAUCAUUACAUUGAAUGUAUUUUGAGCCUCUGAAACCAUUCCAUCCUUACAAAGAGCAUUGAUCAAUACACUGAAGGUAUAAACAUUUGGUAAUAUGUUUUGCUCCACCAUUUCAUUCAUCAAGGCCAAAGCUUGGUUCUUUUGGCCUAAUUUGCAAACACCAUGAAUUAAACCAGUGUAAGUGAUGACAUCAGGUGAAAUGCCCUUAUUCCUCAUUUGAGAGAAGAGCUCUAAAGCCUCACCAACUAGCUCAUCCUUGCAAAGGGCGUGAAUGAUUGCAUUGUAUGUCACAACAUCUGGCUCACAACCUCUAUCAGCCAUUCCCUUUAGCAGCCCAAUAGCCACGUUUGUUUUCCCAAAUUUACACAUUCCGUUUACUAUCACAUUAUAAGUAUAAACAUUAGGUUGAUAACCACGUGCAACCAUAUCAUCGGAAAAUUUCACUGCUUUAUCCAUUUUACCCUUCAUACAAAGCCCAUUAAUUAAGGUAGUAAAUGUCACAGUGGUAGGCUCCAAUCCGAAUUUGAGCAUCUUACCAAAAACAGAGAAGCCAAAAUCCACAAGGUGUAAACGGCAGAAGCAAUUAAUUAAGAUGUUAAGAGAAUAAACAUUGUGAGAGAUUCCUAGCAAUUCAAUUGUUUUGGACAUGGAAAGGACAGUAUGAUAUUGUUUCAUUUUCACAAGGGCAGAUAAGAAUCUAUUAAAUGGAGCCCUAAAAGGCAGAGGAUGCAUAUGAAUUACAUGAUUGAAGGACGCAAUGGCACCAUCAAGGUGAGUAAAAGAAGCAGAUUUGAAAUUAUUUGUCAAGAAGUGUGCAUCUUCAAGUGUGGAAGUAGAAGAAUGGCAAAAAUUGGUAAAUAAGAAUAGGAAUGGAGAUUGAAUGUUACCAAUUGCCCCUUGUAGCUGAAGAUGGAAGCUCCUGCUCUUCCUCCUCGAAGGCAUCUUCAUCAUCAUCGAUCUCUUGUCAGUUGUUUUUAGGGAUGGAUCGGAGAUUGGGAAUGAGGAAAGGAAAUAGAGAAUUGGAAAAGGAAGGCUCUCUGCCUGCUGGUAAAGGAAAUGCAUUACUCUGUCGUUUAUAUGCACCACAUUUUGUAAUUUUUUAUUAAAUUUUCAUAUAAAAAUAUUAUUUAAUAGCAAAUUAAAUUUAUCAUUUGUAGAUACCUAAUUAAAGGCAGUUAUAUAAAUUGUUAAUUUUAUUUUUAAUAUUAAUAAAAUUUCAUGAAAAAUAUAUUUAAUUUUUAGCUUAUAUAAUUUUUUAUUAUUAAUUAUUUUAUUUUAUUAUAAUAAAAUUAAUUUUUUUACCAAACUUUACUCUUAUAGGAAUUGUUUAGCGCAUUUUUAUUUUGACAUCUAUUUAGAUAAUAUUACGAUUUAAUUAAUGUAAUAAAAAAAUUAAUAUAUAAAAUUAUUUCAAAAUAAUAAAAUUUUGAAAUGCUCAAACUCACUACAUAUAUUUCGCAUUUUCAAUUUUAUUUGUUAUUAAUAUUAACGUAAAAUUAUAAUAUAUAAUUUUUUUUCUAUAGAUUUAAUAUACAGUAUAUUGUAUUAUAAAUUAUAAGAAAUUAUUUUUAAAAUAUGAAUAAUACUUAUGUACAAAAUAUCAUAAAAGUUAAAAAAUUAAAUUAAAACAUUAAAAUUCAUUAAAAUUAUAAAUAUUUUAUUUAUAUGAUCACAUAAUAAAUUUUAAAUUAAAAAAUUAAAUUAAUGUGUGAAACUAAUCAUAAAAAUAUAAAAUUAUUAGCAUGAAUUAUUUAUUCGGAAUUUUUAGCCAAAAACUCAGAUAUCUAUCAUUAUAAAAUUAAUACUUUUAAUAAUUUUUUAAGUAGAAAGUUUUAAAUUUUAGUUAGUUAUUUGUUUUAGAUUAUAAUGAAUUUAAUUUCAAUUUAAAUUAAAAAGUAAUAUAGUUAAUUAAUUAAAUAUUUUUAAAUAGCAAUAAAAUACAAUAAAUUUAUAAUUAUUAAAUGUAGUUUGACAAUUUAAAUAAUAAUAGCUUCUUAAUUAUUUAUAUUUAAAUUAUCAUUUUUAUAUCUUAAAUUCUAAGAUUAUCUUUUAUAGACAUGUAUAAGAUAAACUAAAUUAUAUAUAUAUAUAAAGAAAACUAAAUUACUCUCCAAUCUUCAUGUUAUAAUAUUAUAUAAUUAAUUAUUUUUACUAGUUUAAAAAUAUGUUAUAAGAGAGACAACACACUUAAUAUAUCAUAACUUAUAUGAUUCUGAGCGAUACAUUCUACUAAAAAAUAAAAUUCAGAUAAUUAAAGGUGUUUAAUUUUAGAGCCAAAAGAUCGAAAAACUCUUGAGUUUCAUCAUUCAAAGUGUUAAAUGGGUGUUGAGACCUUAAGAUUUCAGCCUUAAAAUUAAUAUCAACAGGAGGUCUCAACCGCCUUUGAAAUCCAAGGAUUAUAUGACAGUCAACUCAAGACUGAAACCCAAGGGUAAUGACUAUUGAGUUGAAGGCUUCGGCCUACUAAGCCAAAAUCCAAAUAGACGAUAUUAUUCAAAUCACGUAAAAGUCGUAUGAUAAUUAAGACUUCAAAUCACAUAUGAGUAAAAAUGUUCUCGGAGUAAAAUUUUACAAUCUAGAACCAAUAUAGAUUUCAAAUAGUCCUACCAAGAGUCGACCAGCUUUAGAUCUAAAAGACACCUCAAGUAUGUUAAGUUAUCUUUUAAUCAAACCAUUCUCUAUACCUUUAUUUUGAGAUUUAUGAUAGAUCACUUACUAAUUUAAGUAUCAAAAAGAUAACCCACAAUAAUUCAUAUCUGAACGUUAUAUCUAUUGAGCCUGAGAAGAUCAAUAUACCAUCACUAAAAAUGGUUAUUGAUAUUAAUUGCACUACAUUUUACAUAUAUUUUAGGACAAAUCUAUACAUGGAUUUAUCUGAAUUCAUAUUUUACUAGGUAUAGAACCAAUCUUUAUUCAUAUUGUUUACAAAGAAGCUGAAACAUGGUAAACUAAAGACUUUUUUUAUUAUUUUUUUAAAAAAUUAAAAAAACUUAUUAAAUUAAGAAAAAUUAGAUGUAUAUUUGCACCUCUAAACUUUAUUAAAAAAAUUAUAUCCACAAAAAUUAAAUUAUUUUCUUAAGUUAAACUACUUUCAUAUAUUUUAUUUAUAAUUUUGACUCCACUUAUUUACGAAAAAUAAUUACUAUUUGAAUAAUAUUAAAAAAUAUUUUUUAAUAAAAUAACUUAUUUUCUCUUAUUUAAUUUUAAUUUAAAAAUAAAAUUUAUAAACUAAUUUAUAUAGCAGUCUUAAUAAGAUACUCAAAAUGCAGACAAUGAUUUUUUUUUUUUAAUUUAUUUUUCUUAAAAUAACUUAAUUUUUAUUUUAAAUAAAAAAUAUUUUCUAUUAACUAAAUUUUAAGAGUGUUUUGAAUGUUGGAAAAUAUGGACAAUUAUUACAAGAAAAAUAUUCAUUAAUGAGAGAAAAAAUUAUCAUUAAAUAUUAAAAAUUAAUCAUUGAAAAAUUACAAAAUUAUUUUUAAUUUUGUGAAAACAAAAAAUAAAAAUCAUGAAGUGAUACUAAAUGCACUUUAAAUUAGUCGUUAUAUAUAUAUAUGAGUGCAAGUGUGUAGAAAGUGAAUUAAGAAAUUAAAAUAUAAAAGAGUAAAUUAUUGUUUGAUUUUUGUACUAUUUUAAUUUUUUUUUAUUUCUAUGUCAUUCUGUUAAAAUAAAUCAUUAUAUUAUUUAUUUUUUUAAUUAUAUAUAUAUAAUUUAUUUUUUCUAAUUAAAGCUAAAAAUAUAUUUAUUAAUAUUUUAUUCGAUAAAAAUAUCAAAGAAUUUGAUUUUAUAAAAUUGAAUGAUUUGAAAAUAAAAAUUGAAUAGUUAAUUUUAAUAAAAUACAACGAUCUAUUAACAAUUUAAUCUUAUAAAAAAGAAUUAUUCAAAACUCUCUAAAGUUUCAUCAAACAGUGAGAAUCCCCUUGCAAGUUUCAUCAAACUUAUCAGUAGUGCAAGUAAGUACAAUUGGCCCAUCAAUUCUGGAGUCGAGAUCACCAUUCUGAUAUUGUUUAAUCAAUUCUUGUAAUGCCAGAAACUUCAGAUUCUCUACUUGAACUUGAUAUCUCUUGCUCUCGUUACCCACGUAUAUGGCUACAUAGCCUUUUCGAAUUUGUGGAGUUUUGACUUUUUGAUCAGUGGAACUGGAGAGCAAUUUAUAAGAAAAAAAUGACUAGAUUGCAUAACGUUGAUCUAAAAUUUUGUAAAUAAAAUCCAUUUUCCUGCUAGAAGCUCUCGACGAUGACAUUAUUGAUGAAAUUUUUUUAAGUUAAAAAAACUAUUUGAGAGUUAAAGAAUCCGAAAGAAAAUUGUAUUACAAAGAAUAAUAGUUGGGAUUCAAUUUAUAUAUAGAAUGAAUGAGUUUUCCUGAUGAAAUUUGGAUUUCCAGCAGUAAGUAAAGUUUUUUAGCUGGAUUAGUUUAUUAAUUGGUUUAAAAAAGAUACAAAUUAAGGCAGUGAAAAAGAAUCUUUAUUAAUUAUAUAAUUAUUUACAUUUUGAUUUAUUAAUGGUAAUUGCUAAAUAUGGUAAUUAAGUGAUGCUUAAGUUUAUAAUUUUGAGAAUAAUAAGAUAUGACGAUAAUAUUUAUUCAGUUUUAUGGUUUUUAGUUUCUUAAAAUGGCAGAAUUAGUUUAUAGGUCAGUAGAUUUUUUGUUAGGAGUUUGAAAUGGGAGAGAUUAUCACAAAUUAUAUGCAAUAUUCACACUUAAUUAAUUCUCUAAAUUUUUCAUACAGAAUGUUGAAAUGGUUAUCUUUGAUUAAAAAAAAGAAAUGGUUAUAAUAAAAAAUUAAAUAUUUUAUUUUUUUAUAUCAACACCAAUUUUGUUAAAAAUAACAAAAUUAUUAAAAUUAUUGAAUAAAUUAACUAAAAUUAAUAAUGAGUGAAAAUAUUGAAUUAACAGAAAGAUUUUGAUUUUUUUCUUUUUGUUAUUUAAUUUUUUUAAAGAAAUGAAGAUAACUAUUUUUUAACAAAAAGUGGGGCCAUUGAAACUAGAAUUAGCUGCUUUGAUUCAAUUUUUCUUUUCUUUUUUUGUAAAUUUUAUGUUGAUUCCCUUCAAUUUUUUUUUCUUACUAGAAUUUAUUUUCUUUUUGUAGUUUAUUAACUAUCAUACAUUACAAAAUAAUAUUUAAUGGAAAAUUUUAAUUAUAGUUUUAUUAAUAAUGAUGUUUAUAUUAAUUUUAUAUUAUUUAAUUUUAUAUAAUAAGAUAAAUAAUAAAAAGUAAAAAUACCUUUUAUAUAUAUAUAUAUAUAAGAGUUUAAUUUAUGUAAGAGUUUUCUUUAUAAUAAAGUUAUAUAUUUAAUUUAAUUAANNNNNNNNNNNNNNNNNNNNNNNAUAUAUAUUUUGAGAGUUUAAUUUAGGUAAGAGUUUGUAAAAUUAUAAAUAACAAACAGAUUUAUAAAUCAUUUGCAAAUAAAAGUGUAAUCGUUUAUAAAAUUAAAAAGAUACAUAGAUACAUGUAUGAAUUUGUUCAUACAUACAAAUGUGUGAACCAUUUGUAAACUUAAAUGCUCAUAAACAAAUUCACAAAUGAAAAUUUGUUAUGGAGUUAUAAUCCAUUUUUAAAAUUAGAUGUACACAUAUGGAUUUGUAGGGGUGAGCAUUCGGUCGGUUCGGUUCAAAAUCGAAUCGAACUGAAAAAACCGAAAACCUAAAUUUUAGUAUUUAUGAAAAUCGAACCGAACCGAUUUUGGUCAGAAACCGAAUCGAACCGAACCGGUCUGAUUCGGUUCGAUUCGGUUCGUUUGAUCAGUUUCGAUUUUUAAUGAUUUUUUUUAUUUUUUACACUUUAUUUUUAAUAUUUUAAAAUUUAAUUAAAAUAUUUUAAUUUUAAUAUGAUUUAAUUUCUCUACAUUAUUGAAAAAACAUAUUAUUAUCACUAAUCGGUUCGGUUCGAUUUUUUCAGUUUUUUUCUGAUUAAAACCGAACCGAACCGAAAUAACUGAAAUUUUUGAAAUUAAAAACCGAACCGAACCGAAAUGUAUAAAAAAUCAACUAAAUUUUAAAUCGAUUCGGUUCGGUCGGUUUUUUUGAGUUUGAACCGAAUACUGCUCACCCCUACGGAUUUGUAAAUAGAAGUGUAACUAUUUGUAAAAUUAAAAAGACAAACGGAUUUACAAAUAAAUAUGCAAUUGAUUUGUAAAAUUAAGAAAAAUUAACUAUUUAAUCAUUAUGAUAUGAUAAAAUUUAUCCGUUGUUCCCUUUAUUUUAAAAAAUAUAUUAAAAUAUUUUUAAAAUUUUAAAAAAUUUACUAAUUAAUCACUCCGUUACUAUAGGGACUAAGUAGUAAUCUUUUCUAAAAUUAAAGGACUACAAACAUAUUUACAAAUAAAUAUGAAAAUAAAAAUUAAAUGGAUAUAGAAUAAUUUGUAAAUGGACUUAUAAUUAGCUUGUGAAAUUAAUACAAAUAAAUUUAUAAACGAAUAUAUAUAAGUCAUUUAUAAAUUUAAUUUGAUAUAAAUAAAUUUAUGAUAUAGAAUUAUAAAAAAGAAUAUUUAUAUUUUUGCUAUUUCCAUUUGUAAAGCUAUAACAUUCAUAAAUGAAUUUAUAUCGGUUUAUAAAUUCCAUUUAUAUUUUAAAAAAUUCUUAUAGUAAAGGAUGAAAGAGUGAACAAUCAUAAUAAAUAGAAAAUCUUUCCAAAACAAUUAAACAAACUAUAUCAGAAGAAUUGAAGAGUUGGUUAAGAUUAUGCAGUCUAUCAGUUGUUCUUAAUUUUUAUCUUUUUCAAAAAUAUAAAAAUAAGAGUUGAUCAAUAAAAUAUAACAUGUUUCGGUUUGGAGAGUUGAUUGAGACUAUUUAGUUGUAUUCAAUUUUUAUCUUUUUCAAAUAUAUAUAUAUAUAUAAAUUUCCGAAAAGCAAAGAAACCAAAAUCCAGAAGGUGUAAAUGGAAAAAGAAACAUUUAAGAAUCUAUUAAAUAUCAAGAAUUCAGUUGUUUUAAACAAGGAAAUGACAAAGUACGUAAUAUUGUUGCAUGGCAUUUUCACAAGGGCAAAUAAGAAUCUAUUAAAUUGAGCCUACAAGGCAAAGGAUGCAUAUGAGUUACUGUUAGUAGACAGACCUUGCUAAUUUAUAAACGCUCAAUCAUAGAAAGAAGAAAGGGAUGCAGGUUACCAAGAUCAAUCACAUUAGAGAUUUUGACAAGUAUAAUUUUGACAAUUCAAUUAUUUCCCAUUCCCAUUUGUUCUUCACCCAACAGCCCAUAUUUAACAUCAACACAAAUAGGUUAGCUGCUAAAUUUAAUAGUCUGCUAAAGGAGAAUUUGAGAGCAAUAUUACCAACCGAUCGUCUCUCAUUCCAAAAUUUCAUUUUCAUCUCAUUCCCCACAGCAAAUCUGAUAUGAAUUAAAGGAGAGAAGGAAGAGUUCAUCGAAAGUAGCAUAGCCUCGAAUGUCUUUCUGAAGGGAAGAAAUGCAAUUUCCUGGAGCAAGAGAGAUACCCUUCUCCAAAUUGAAAGAAUAUUUGGAUAGAAGUUGAACUCAGAGUGAAUCCCUAUGAUUUUCAAAUCUCCAAAGCCAUUUGAACAAAAGAGCUUGAAUUUGAAGAGAGAUCUCUUUCAUGCCUAAGCCUCCUUUCUUUUUAGGCAACAAAAGAGUAUUCCAUUUAAUCAGAUGAAGUUUCUUUGUACUGACAUUUUUCCUGCCACCUUUGAUUAUACCUGUGUUAUAUAUAGAGCUAACCUGCCUUUUAUGAACUUGUUCAUAAAUACAUUUGGACAAAAAGUCCUGUUAAAUAGCUGAAGCUAAACUAGCAUUCCAAUCGCUAGUAGGACCAAUUGCAGUUGCUUGUCUCAGUGGCUGCAUAUGUCUGAUUUUCAUCCUCUUCUUUUGCUUUUCCCUCAAUUCCCAUAACAUUUUCUGUUGUGUAUAAUUUUAGUGACAUUUCAUCCAACCAACAGCUGUAGAAGUCUGGUGAUUCUCUUACCUUGUAUUAUGGGACUGUAUAUCCUGCAACCUGCAUUUAUAGUGUAGUCUAAUUGUUAAAUCAAUUCUCAAUUAAAGCACACUGGUUUAUAAUCAUUAUUUUCAUUAUUAUUAAAAAUUAUAAUAAUUAAGCAAAAAAGAAUUGCUUAUACCUUUAUGGUUAGAAAGGAGAAGUUGUAGUCAUAUCCUUGCAAGUACCUACAAGAGAAAUGAUAGCAUUUUAAAAGGUCAUUGAGCACAAAAAUAAAAACAAAGAUUCUUAAUCAUUGUAGUACGGAACCAAUUAGUUUUAGUUCUCAACUCAAUUUUAGGACUGAGCUCUCGAGUUAAGGCUGUAGUAGCAGCCAAAAAAAAAAUUGUAAUGGAGAUGUUGGGUUUACCAGCAACUUGAUGUAGAAAUCCAUGACCUCCAUUCAUCAACAAUCUUAUAUCAAAGAGAUCUAGUCCAUGUUUGAAUUCAAGCGAAAGGCACACACAUAUCAUGAUUUCCACCAUAGGUAAUUUGCGGUUUUAAAAAUUUUUGUUUUGUGGAAGAGAAUCACAGCUGAUUGAAAUUAAAAAUGAUAUUUGAAGAAAUUAGUUAAAUUACAUAUCUAUUAUAUUUGAAAAAGGUAAUUACCAAGUUGCGCUCCAAGAUACACUUGAAUGGUCAAGAUAUAACAACUUUAGUUUGCUGAUCCCUCAUUGCGCACCUUUAAAAGCCUCAGAAUGAGAUCAUUAUUCCGCGAUAAAUGUACUACCAGUUCUGUGGUAGCAGCAUCAGCAGAGAACCCCUUAUCAACCAUUUCAUUGAUUAGUUCUGAUGCUUUUGGUAAAUCCCCAUGCUUGAGAAACCCUUGAAUGAUGAUGUUAUAACAAGAAUUAUUUGGUAAACAUCCUACCUUUUCCAUGUCUUUAAAUACGUUAUACGCUUCAUCCAUUAAUCCUUGUUGGCAGAGUCCCUUCAUUAUUGCAUUAUAUACAUAAACAUCAGGUUGUAAACCAAUUUCAAAAAGACUAGAAAAAAGUUCCUUGGCAUCAUUAAUCUUCCCAACUUUGCACAUACCAUUGAUCAGACUGCUAUAGAUCACAAAAUUAGGCUUCAACUGACUUUUCUCCAUUGCUUUCAAUAGGGUGAGUGCCUCAUCGAGAUUCCCCUGUCUACACAAGCCAUCAAUCAUAAUUGAGAAGGUUACUAUAUUUGGCUGUUGACCAUGAGAGCACAUAUCCUUAAAGAGCUCUUUUGCAGUUUGGGGCCUCCCUGCUUGAAACAUAGCCUUUAUAAGAGUAUGAUAAGUAAUAGCAUUAGGAACUAAACCUUUAUGAGACAUUUCAUCAAAAAUCUGCUUUGCAUCAUCUAUCAUUUUGCACUUACAAUAUCCAUUGAUCAAAAUGUUGUAGCUAAAAAUGUCAGCUAUUUCAUUGGUCACCAUCAGAUCAAAUACCUUUCUAGCCUUAUCAAUUUGCCUGCACAGACAAUAUCCAUCCAUCAAUGAAUUAUAAGUGACAACACUAGGUUCCACACCUCUUUGAAUCAUUAUUUUGAUUAUAUUCUGUGCAUUUGAAACCAGUCCUUUCUUACAAAGAGUGUCAAUCAAUAUACUGAAGGUAAAAACAUUAGGGGAUAUGUUCCUCCCCACCAUUUCUUUCAACAAGGCCAAAGCUUCCUUGAAUUGGUCUGAAAUGCAAAGACCAUCAAUUAAGGAAUUGUAGGUGACCACAUCAGGCUCUACACCUCUUUGAAUCAUUACAUUGAAUGUAUUUUGAGCCUCUGAAACCAUUCCAUCCUUACAAAGAGCAUCAAUCAAUACAUUGAAGGUAUAAACAUCUGGUAAUAUGUUCUGCUCCACCAUUUCAUUCAUCAAGGCCAAAGCUUGGUUCUUUUGGCCUAAUUUGCAAACACCAUGAAUUAAACUAGUGUAAGUGAUGACAUCAGGUGAAAUGCCCUUAUUACUCAUUUGAGAGAAGAGCUCUAAAGCCUCACCAACUAGCACAUCCUUGCAAAGUGCGUCAAUGAUAGAAUUGUAUGUCACAACAUUUGGCUCACAACCUCUAUCAGCCAUUCCCUUUAGUAGCCCAAUAGCCACGUUUGUUUUCCCAAAUUUACACAAUCCGUUUACUAUCACAUUGAAAGUACGAACAUUAG
rnacentral:lncRNA from 1 species